rnacentral:rRNA from 1 species
AGGUUAUGUAAUGAGGGGAUGGAUGCGGUCUAUAAUGCAAGUCGAGCGGACAGAUGGGAGCUUGCUCCCUGAUGUUAGCGGCGGACGGGUGAGUAACACGUGGGUAACCUGCCUGUAAGACUGGGAUAACUCCGGGAAACCGGGGCUAAUACCGGAUGGUUGUUUGAACCGCAUGGUUCAAACAUAAAAGGUGGCUUCGGCUACCACUUACAGAUGGACCCGCGGCGCAUUAGCUAGUUGGUGAGGUAACGGCUCACCAAGGCAACGAUGCGUAGCCGACCUGAGAGGGUGAUCGGCCACACUGGGACUGAGACACGGCCCAGACUCCUACGGGAGGCAGCAGUAGGGAAUCUUCCGCAAUGGACGAAAGUCUGACGGAGCAACGCCGCGUGAGUGAUGAAGGUUUUCGGAUCGUAAAGCUCUGUUGUUAGGGAAGAACAAGUACCGUUCGAAUAGGGCGGUACCUUGACGGUACCUAACCAGAAAGCCACGGCUAACUACGUGCCAGCAGCCGCGGUAAUACGUAGGUGGCAAGCGUUGUCCGGAAUUAUUGGGCGUAAAGGGCUCGCAGGCGGUUUCUUAAGUCUGAUGUGAAAGCCCCCGGCUCAACCGGGGAGGGUCAUUGGAAAACUGGGGAACUUGAGUGCAGAAGAGGAGAGUGGAAAUUCCACGUGUAGCGGGUGAAAUGCGUAGAGAUGUGGAGGGAACACCAGUGGGCGAAAGGCGACUCUCUGGGUCUGUAACUGACGCUGAGGAGCGAAAGCGUGGGGGAGCGAACAGGAUUAGAUACCCUGGUAGUCCACGCCGUAACGAUGAGUGCUAAGUGUUUAGGGGGGUUUCCCGCCCCCUUAGUGCUGCAGCUUAACGCAUUAAGGCACUUCCGGCUGGGGGAGUACGGUCGCAAGGAACUGAAUACUCAAAGGAACUUGACGGGGGCCGCACAAGCCGUGGAGCAAUGGUGGGAUUUACUUCGAAGGCCAUCGGCGCAGAUCUUAACACAUCAUGACAGUCCUCUGGACAAGUUCAUUGA